rnacentral:RNase_P_RNA from 1 species
GAAAACGGGAAAUUGCGGUAUGGAUAAUGCUGAGGAAAGUCCAGACUGCCACAGCCUGAGACGGCUGUAACGUUCGUGCCCGCCGCAAGGCGGGGCGGGGCUUGCCCUGACGACGGCGAAAUCGGCUCAUGCAGUCGAGAUUAGCCAUAAAGUGCACAGAGAAUGGGUAGACCGGCGACGGUCUAGUGAAAAGCGGUAAACUCCACGAGGCAGAAACCCGAAUUAUGGUAGGGGAACCCCGGUUAGGGAAAAGGAACCGAGCAGGGGAACGCCGCGCAAGGUAGCACUUCGUGGCGUUAGAUAAAUAAUUUCCUAAAACAGAAACUGGCUUACGGUU